rnacentral:rRNA from 1 species
CAGUCGCCACGGUAAUACGGAGGGGGCUAGCGUUGUUCGGAAUUACUGAGCGUAAAGCGCACGUAGGCUGCUUUGUAAGUUAGAGGUGAAAGCCUGGAGCUCAACUCCAGAAUUGCCUUUAAGACUGCCGAGCUAGUAGGUGAGAGAGGUAAGUGGAAUUCCGAGUGUAGAGGUGAAAUUCGUAGAUAUUCGGAAGAACACCAGUGGCGAAGGCGGCUUACUGGCUCAUUCUAGACGCUGAGGUGCGAAAGCGUGGGGAGCAAACAGGAUUAGAUACCCCGGUAGUCCCUGUCUCUUAUAC